rnacentral:lncRNA from 1 species
CUUUAGGAAUCAAAUGUCAACGUGCAGAAAGCAUUAAGUUCGGUAAGUCAUGUUAAAAUUGUUUUAUGUUUAUUCUACAGUUAUUUGAUGAGUAUUUAUCUCAAGAUACAUAUACUCUAAAAAAUAUUGUCAUGUUAAAGUACUAAUUGUUUUAUUUUCAUUCUAUAAUUGAAAUAUAUGUUGUUUUUGAAGAUACACACACUUUUUAGAUAUUUUGUAAAAAGAAUUGUCAUUUUGAUGUAUAAUUAUCUUUGAACAUCAAUAGAACAAAAACGUGUAUAUAAUAAUUUUCAGCCAAAAGCAUACCGAAAGUAUCAAUAUCGUUAUUCAGAAGGCAAACUUUCAAUAUUUGUAAAACAAAGUUACUAGUAUUCAGAAUGAAUUAUAUAUUCUAAUAAAUUCAUUUAACUGAAAAUUGCAUGUUCUGCAUACAAAACAUAAAUUUUAAAACGAAUUCGUCAUGUACAAAUUAUUCUGGUCAUGUUUUGUUAUUUUACUUGUAACACACGAUCUAGAGAAUCUUAAUAAGUUUAAUAAAUUUACAAACACCACAUUAUGAGUUACUCUGAAACUGUUUGAAAAAUAGGUUUGAUUUGGAUUGUUUAAGAAAAGAUUUGUCUUUCAAAUAAAAAAAAAAAAGAUUGUUGCUAGAUUUGUCAAGCAUGUUCGUUAAUUAAUCUUGUUUUAUUAAUUUCUUUUUUGUGAGCUUGUCUAUUUGUGAUUAUAUAAAGACCGGAAUAUUCCAUAGAGCGUGUUCUUUAAUGUAUUUUGAAUAAACUUUGCCAGGCUUUAUUCAUAAUAAAGCUUAUCAUCUUUAAUCUUUUCCUCGUUUCAUUUAUCCAUACAUUCAUUCAUUUCAAUAGAAAUACACAAUGUAUUGAAUAAUUGAUGACUGCAUUUUCUUAUCCAAUCUUAAAAAGUUAAAAUAUAUUUAUAAUACAACAAUCGUUAUAAAUCUUCGGGUAUAAAAGAUGAUAGUUUGUAAAAAGAAACAAAACUGCUUAUGAAAAUUUGAAUUGUUCGAAAUAUUAAAGAUUUUCUACCCCACAAAUAUAAGAACUUAACUGUAUCUCGAUAUAUCACUUAAACUUUGUAGUCUAUUUUGUCUUUUAUUCAUUAUUUUUUUUUUAUCGACAGUAACUGGUGAGUAUUUUGUAAACAAAACGCGCCUGACGUACACAUUUAUAAGCCUUGUAUCUUCGAUGGGUUUGUUUGUACCGUAAUUGUACCUUAAUUGUACCGUAAUUGUAAUGAUUUUUGUUUUUUGGAAAAUCACGGACUCCCUGAGCAUUCGUUUCGGGGGCUCAGUUUUGUCUUUUGUUUUCUUGACAGAUUUAUUUCUAUUUUACUUUAAUUACACGUGUAAAGCUGCUUCUAUACUCUUAUAUUUUUUUUUUUCAUAACCACGAAUAUCAAAGAAUCAAAUCAAACCAAAUCAAAAGCAUUGCAAAAACAUAUAAAAAAUGUUAGUAAGUGAAGCAUUUAUAGGGACGCAAACCAAUAGAAAAAAUAACAAAAGUGAUGCCAAAUUUUUAAAAGGGAUCAACAAUAUCUCUGGCAAAUGAAUACAAACAGUCUGAACAGCAAAUUUGCAAAACUUGACCUCGCCAAGUAAAUCCCAUGACAUCUAGGAUAGUGAUACUUUCGUGCACACAAUUUAUUUCAGCAGGGCAACAACCCUUUUGUAGUGAAACGUUUUCAGAUACACUUUGCCUGAUGUGUAGUACAGCAGACAUUCACUUCCUUUGUUUACAUUAAUCUAAUAUUGGCUAAAACAUCAAACAUUUAGAAAUCGAAAUCAAUUACAAAUUAAAAAUGUAUCUGUUCAUUUGGAUCUUCCGUCACCUGCAAUCACGAAAUAAGUAAUCUAUAUACUAGUAUUAUACGUUCCUAAUUUUAAGAAUAACGAAUUGAAAUACAUUUACUAGAAGCGUAAUAGAUUCUCUCCUGGUUAUAUUACAAAUGUAUUUCUAGUUGGUGAAGAACAAUUACAGAGAAUUUCUUUAACCUUCAUAACAUUCUUCAAAUCCCCACAUUAAGUAAAACAUGCAUCUUGGAAAAUAAUCAGGAGUAAAUGUAAAACGAUUUUCACUAACAAGUAUUCAUUUUACGGAUUUUAAAACAUCAAAAUCUUAUAUUAGAUCCAUAGAAUUUUAGAAUUAACACCAAAAGUUUCCUAUGAUACCUUUACUUAUUUAGUAUAAUUAAAAGGAGAUGUUGAGUCUGCGUCAAUACAUACUAUUUGAUGGUUAUUGGAUCAUACAGCUGGCUGAACGUUAUAAGAAUAUCACGACAAUUCAGCUGCAAAUUGAGAAUGACCAGGAAAACCUAACAAACUGUGAACACAAAACUAUUUAUUUAAUAUAAGGCGUUCAAUACAGUCUAUAUUACAGAUUAUUAUACAAAAUUUCUCAUUAUUUUCCCUUCCGAAAUAAUAAAUUGAAUAUAGUCAACAAAGAGGAGCGACAGUUUAUGUAGUCCUUAUUGUUUUGCAAAUUGUAUCUUAUUAUGAGUAUUUAAUGUGCGAAUUGUUUAAUCCAAAUUUAAUUUUUAACUUAUUUUAGUUUUGAAAUUGACUGGGUUUAACUCUCUUCGCAAAAUCCACCUCUUUUCAUUCAAAAAGAUUGUAUUCGUUUAUAUGUUUGUUAAUAAAACAUCUUGUUGUUGUAAUCGUAAUUCGAUGUAGGUUUUAAUGCAUAGCAAUCCGUAAAAUUGGAAUUUUUAAUUGCAUUAUUAUAAGUUUAAUAUCUUAAUCUGUGACUAUUUGGUACACGUAUUCAUUAUAUUCACAAGAGCAGGUUUAAAUAUGUGUUGAUCAGAUGAACAAAAAAACCAACAAUUUAGAUUAAAAAAAAAACAAACUAAAUCCAACUGAAAAAUAUUUUGCUCUAACUUCUAAAUGUUUGAUCCUAGCGAAAGAGAAUCAAAUAAAAAAAUGUUUGACCCGGAUGGGCUCAAAAUCAAUGAGGCGGUUCACAUUAUAAGGAUUAUUGUCAGUAAAAAAUAUUACAUGCAAUUGGAUAGGCUUAAAAAUUUGUUCAUACAAAUGCUUUUAUUAUUUGCAUACUUAUUUUUAUAAAGCAUGACCCUUAAUACAUUUGGACAUCUUUAUUUCACUGUUUAAAAAACAAACUACCGGUAUAUCAUAUUCUUUCAAAACUAGUUCCAUAUAAUAUGAAACUAUAGCAUCAUCAUUUUAUUUACUUAAAUUAGGCUUCAUGUUUUUAAAACAAAGACAACCUCAAUUGUAAAACGUUAGAAAAAUCAAUCAUAGCGUCGCCUUAAUUUUGAUUUUCCAUUUCUAGAGAUUUACAUUUUAAAACACUCACCAAUGACAACACUGUUACAUGUAUGAUAUGAUUUACCAAACCCAUGUUUCCUCGAAAUAAGUGUCAAUCGAAUCAAAAUAAUUGGGCUGUCAAAGCAUAUGAUAAGUUGUAGAGUAUCAAAAACCGAACAUUUUUAAACGUUGUGCUAAAUACGACAAAGACAAUAUAUGCCUGGGAUAGCAACCCUUAGUGUUUCGAAUUAUUGAAUGGUAGUUAAAGAUAACUGAGUACUGAGUUCUAAAUACUAGAACGUUAAAGUACUAUAAACCAUCAUUUUAUAAUUUUAUAAUUUCUUAAUACUUGAUGUAAUUUAAUAAGGCAAACUCCUUGUUAAACAUAUUCGGAACGAUCAAUAUUUGCGAUAUUUUUCUAGUCGCGAAAAUAGAUUGGGUUACGGUACACUACCUUUAACCUGUUCAAUAACAUCUUUUUAUAUAUAUCGUUAUUUCAUAGUUUGUGUUUAUCAAAAUAAGUUCUAAAAUAUAAAAUAUAUAGACUGGUAUCAUGAUGAUCAGGUACCAAGUUACAUAUUUCUAGUUUACAAGUCCUUUUUAAAUUUCAAACUCAUAGACACUAUUAUUCGUUAACAAAUUUUUUUUCUUCAAAAUAUGGUUGGGAUUUAAGAGAUAACUGUAUUGUAUUUGAAGCUUUAAGGACGUCCAUCGGUAGUUUUACUGUCGCAAACUUAGUUUACCUUAGUAACAGACAAGGAGACAGAGAAUUUUACGCUAACUGCCAUCCAAUCAGAACCAUUGAUACAAAAUAAUUGCAUUAGAAUUAAUCAUUUUCGCAAUCUCAUUUUCCUUUUUUAUAAUCAUUUAUUGGACAUAGGAGAUGUAAGAUAACUAGCAAAUGUGCUUAAUAUGCAAUAAAUAUAAAAGUUGAAUUUGAAAAUAAUAGAUUGUCAUCUAGAAGAUCAAGCUUAAUAUGUUCAAUGUUUGUUCAUUAUAUUACAGGCAUGAGUUUUAACAUCAAGACACUUUACAAUUCCCAAUUUUUAACGACAAGAAUGUCGUUAAUACUGUAAUGCAAUAGAAAAGUGUAUGAUGAAACUCUAUCGUUACUACAUUGAGUGAUUUUAAUAACAUCCCAAAAAUCAAAUGUCAUCUGAAACCCCACUUUCUAGGUAUCCUAUUCACUAGAAAUCCAUCCCUAGAGCAUUUGAGUAUGAAAACAUUGAUUUUAAGCAGCUCAUGAAAAAAGAACAUUAUUUAAAAUAACAGUGAAGAGAAAAUUGAGUGAGUAAUAAUUUGUAAGCUUAUAUUAGUGUCAUUUGAAAGCGUUGUAACAUUAAACAUUCUGCAUAGAGCAAAUAAAUAACAAUUAAUUACAAUUAGUACAAUGUAAAUAAAUCAAACACUGUUGGUAAUAGGUACAGUCAAAAUCAAUACGGAGGUGUCAUUAAAAUAUCGAAUAAAAAACAUAAUGCCCCUCUACUUUUGUAGGUGGGGCAUAAAAACUAGUUAUAAUGACAAAUUCUCGAGUUUCUUCCCAAUUAGAAAUAUUAAUUAUUUUUGUUAAAUAUAUUUUGGAUGAAAAUGAAAUAAGAAUUUUAAAAUACAAGGUGGGCAUCAAGUACACCGACAAAACUUUUGUUUAUGUUUAAAUUGUUUAAGAAGGUAAGAAUUCAGAUUGUAAAAUACCUACUUAUAAAAGUUUAUUAAUAAAAGUUUAUUAAGAAAGUAAUGAUAACGUUUUAAUCUAUUUUAAUGGUUCAAGACUUUCCGUUUUAAACUUCCCUCGGAGUUCAGUAAUUUGUUAUUUUACGUUUUACAAACAGAUGAGAAAUUGAAGGUUGUGAUUUCUGAAUUUCAGACGCACAUAUCAUAGAACUAGCCCUAAAAACUUCGGGAAAUAUUUAUUCUAUUUCCACAAAUUAAAUUUUCUUUACUGUAUCGUCAGUAAGAUAUUACUAAUGUAUAUAUAAAUAAGAUUGACAUUUAUAUUUAUAUAGACCAAUCCAGGAUAUCUUGGCUCUAUUCGUAUCUUGUUUGUUUUUAUGCCCCAUUUAUAGGCAUUAUGUUUUCUGGUCUGUGUGUCCGUCCGUCUGUACGUUCGUCCUUUUGUCCGUCUGUCCCGUUUCAUGUUAAAGUUUUAGGUCAAGGUAGUUUUUGAUGAAGUCGAAGUCCGAUCAACUGGAAACUUAGUAAACAUGUUCCCUAUGAUAUGAUCUUUCUAAUUUUAAUGCCAAAUUAGAGAUUUUAUCCCAUUUUCAUGGUCCACUGAACAUAGAAAAUGAUAGUGCGGAUGAGGCAUCCUUGCACUUUGGACACAUUCUUGUUUUGUUUUUGUUUUCACUUUGUUUUCAACAACAGCAUUGCAGACGCUGUUAAAAUCCUUUCACUUACACAGCUGUCUCAAUGAUGGUCUUCGUCGCAUAAGUACCGCCAGUUCAGGGAUUCUACAUGUAGAAUGUUUUUUGUUUGCAAAAAUAUUAUAUAACAUCAAUAUUUGUUAUUUGAAAUUGUUUACCAGUUUUAUUUUAGUGAAACAAUGCAGUUAUAAUUCGAAGACUAAUAGAACUUUAAACCUUGACAAAAUAUAUAUUUUUUUUAAAAAUCAUUUGAAUCUAAUGAAUUACAAAACAUUUCCAUGGGCUUCACUAAGGGACAUAUGACAUCAGAUGAAAUGUUACCCUAGUAAGAUAACGUAGUCAGUGCUUUGACUUUUAAAGGAUACUAAUUAUUAAUCAAUUAAGAUUAGUUGAUUUUACUACGAUCAGCAGAUGCGUUGACAUUAUCCUCACCGUGUUGAACGUUCAAUUAUCUUUUCAAUCGUUAAGUAUUGAAAAAGACCUGACUAAAAUGUAAACACAAACAGUAGGGUGCACCAAAUUUUUAUUGAUACCAACAUGGGCAGUAUUUUAUCCUUAAAAUAAUUAUGCCAACUACAAUAAUAUUUUCUGAGAAACAAGAACUUAUUUCCGUUGAAUUAUUUCCUAUUAACUGUAGAUAAAUAAAAUUUCAGCAAGAAAAACAUGUUUUUUUUCUUAAAAUUGGCUGCAGAAUAUGCCUAUUUUACAUUUAAUUAUUAAGUCCGUACUUCUGGAUAAUUAUUGGAUCAUACAGCUGACUGAAUAUUAUAGGAAAAUCACGACGGUUCAACAGCAAAUUGGGAAUGCCCAAGAAAACCUAACAAACUGUGAACAGAUAACUAUUUAUUCAAUAUUUGGCGUUCAAUACAGUCUGUAUAACAGAACAAUGUAAAACAAAUUACUCAUUACUUUAACGUUCAUAUAACUAUAUAUAAUUUGAUAAUGUUUUAGUUGGUAUAUUUUUUAAAAGAGAAAUGAGAAAAGCAUUUAUUUAGAAAUCUGUACCAAAUUUUUUAAUCUUGCCUUCAUGUUAAUUCGCUCCUUUGCAAGUUUCACGUGUUCUAAUUUUAGUUACCACAAUCCUGUCCUCGUUUGUCUGAUUGCGUUUUACCGAAUUAGACUUCUCAGCAGAUUUGUAUGAAAAACGCAACGAGUGCUGCAUGUGGAGCAGGAUCUGCUACUAUUUUGGAGCAUGUCAAUUAAAUAAGGUCUUUGGUGAGGUUAGUGUUGCACAAUUGUUUGUUUUCUUUGUAAUACAUUUGUCUUUUUUUAUUGUCAAUUUACGAGUUUUGAAUAUCUCCGUUUUAUCUCACCUCUCUUUUUACGGACCCCAAUAUUAUUUGGUUGACGGUUAUUGAAUAUAAGCAUCACAGCUGACCAAGAAAUACAGAUUCCACAUGAAGUAACUAGCUUCCUAUUUUCCUCGAUUGUGACAUUACCAAAUGCAACUUAUCACUGGAUUUGUACCGAAUCAGCAACACGAUGGGGGCUACCAUUAAAACAGAAACUGCUUAUCCUCCUGAAACACGUAACUUCACCCUCGGUCUUUAUUUGUGUUUUUUUUACAAUAUUUUGUAUUGGUUGUUUGUCUUUUCGUUGUAAUUUCCUCAUUUGUAUCUUAUGAUUCUUGAAAUGAGAAUUGUUGGACGUCUGAAACCAAGGUUUCAAAUAUAUUUCCAUAUUAUUCAUCCUCCUUUUUUCAUUAUUUUUAAUAUAUCUAUGAACUUCUCUGAAAACUCUGAAUCAAUAGAGUCCUUAAAACAUGGAACCCGUAAAUUGUAGGAAGAGUAUAUAUAAUUUUAUGUAAAAUGAGAUAAAUCAACAGUAUAGGAGGAGACGCAUCCAGAAAAAAAACAAUUGACAUCCAGAAGAUGCUAUAUACUUUUUUAGUAUUUAAGUAUUUUCACAAAAUAUCAUUGAUUGAGUGUUGGCUACUUAACGUCCAGUGGAAAAUAUUUAAUGCAUAUUCGUGACUUUAUCAAAGUGCAUGACGUCGCCAACAUUUGGGGCACGAAAUUUUAAUAGCAAAUUAUUUUGGUAUAUUCACCAAUAUUUGAUUUAACUUAUGAUGCAAGGCAAAUACAGGAAUGGUAUUUAUGCUUUUUUGGACAACAAAAUAUCAAGCUUACUUUACAAUUUCACAAGGCAGACGUGCGUUUCUUCAAUAUUCGACUCAUCAAAGUAGUUACGAAAUUAAAAAAAUGGGAAAAAAAUAUCGAAAUCUUUUGCUUAAAAAAAAGCAAAGGUUUUCUAUGACCAAUAGUAGAAAACGUUAGUGUAUCGUAAAACAUAUACGUUUACAAACGUUAUAUUUACAAAAAUGAAUAUAUCAAUGAUAUUUCAUGGCCACAACAAAGUAAUGUCUACGGUGCUGGUGAUACCAUAGAAACUAAAAUUCAAAAAAAGUUUUCUGUAUUGUGUCAUGUGUGCUGUUGUUUGUUUGUCUUUUUCAUUUUUAGCCAUGGCAUUGCCAGUUUGUUUUAGAUUUAUUAGUUUGACUGUCCCUUUGGUAUCUUUCGUCCUUCUUUUACCAAAUCAAAAGAAGAAUGAAUUUACGUAAAACGUAGUUCAUGCUUAAUUGAAGGAGCACUGAGGUAAAUGCAUAUUUGAUUUUGUUACUUUAUUUGCAAAUCAUCUAUGCAUUUCUAUAUAUUUUAAAAUUAUACCUUUAAAUAUGACAUCAUCGGUAAUUACUGAUACAAGAUGUUCAUUAGUUUGACAAUUAGUUUUACAUUAUAUCUUAUUUUUUAUCUCUUUAACUAGAUUUCAUCCCAUCUAAAACAAAAGUAACCUAAGUUUUCUGUUCUUUUUAUAUCCGUUUCCUUUUUCAUAUCCCAUAAUAUUGUUUUCUGUUGCAAUUAUUUUCACGAAGGAUCGCGAUAUUGAUUAAUCUAAAAAGGUGUUUCGUGUGCACUACUUAACAGACGCGGAAUUGUUGUUUUACAAUUAUUCAUUUUCAUCAGAAAAUAUAGAAACUAGAUUAAUAUGCUCCAGCAUAUCAGUUUAAUAAAACGUGAUACACAUGAAAAUUAUGACACAUUAUUAUGUUUCCAAAGCUUAAAGAUAAGACUGUUUAAUAAUAAUAUCAUCAAGUAAUUGCAGAGAUAUUGGUAAACUAUCGCAUUCUUUCUUUCAAUUACGUAGUCAUUAUUAAAUUACAACACACAUUUGAACAUUACAGUGCUAUAUGAUUCAAUAACGUUGAAAAAUCCGACUUUAUCGCAAAUUAAACUUUCAAUGUAUCAUAUUCACCAAAUAUAAAUCAUCAAAGCAUUCCACUAAUGGAAGCAUUGAUUCUAAGAAGUUAUAGAAAAACGGAAAUAGAAUAAGUUAUAUUGAACAGAAAAUUGAUUCAUUAAUAGUUUGUAAGCUUACAUUAAUGAUAUGUGAGAACAUCACAUCUCUAAAGAUACUUCAUCAAACGAUUAAUUAACGAUUAAUAACCAUUAGUACAAACGUAAAUAGAUCAGACACUGUUAGUAAUCGGUACUGUCACUAUCAAUAUCGAGGUUUCCUCAAACUAUAGAAUAAAUAAUUAAAAAAUGUUAUAAUAAUAUCCAAAAUUGUGAAAUAUGAACUCGUAUCCAAUUUGGGUAUGUCACAACUGUUAAGGUGGUACCCAACACAUUCACUAAAAUCAAUUUGACUCGUUUAAUUUUCAUGAAAUGUUGUCAUUUACUUUGACCCUUUGACAAAAAUAUAAAAUAAAAUCAAAAACUUUGAACCAACCAUUUUAUCAGAAAAAUUACACUGGUUAUAUAGCAGUUUAACAAACACUAAUUGUGAUCAUUCAGAUACUUAAUAUUCCCUUUACAACAUAACGUAAUUAAAACGUUUAGCUGAUUUUACAGAGUUACCUCCCAUGUAGUGUUAGGUACCACCUUUAGCAUGUCCAAUCACCAACAAUCAGACAAAUUGACCGCAGACGGCUUUAAUAUUUUCCUCCACAUGUUACAUGUAAUUCAUUCAUCUUUCCAACUUUAUUCAUUGAAUUUUAAAUGAAAUGACUGGGAAAAGAUUGUUUAUCCGUAACCAAUUCCUCCUAGUAUAAACGUAUUAUCUGGUAAACAAUAACGUAUCUCCGUUGUCAUGAACUGUUUACUUGACAAUUUUCCAAGGUUAUGUUAGAUUUUAUCAUUUGAAAAUCAAAUAGAAAGAGACUUAUUGUCAACAACAAAACUAAAUGCUGCUUAAAAUUAAAAUCAAUAGUUAAAAAAUGACGUAUAACUUUAUUUUCUACCUAAGGAAUAGAUAAACUUAGCUGUAUUUGGCAAGCUUUUAGGAAUUUUUGGUACUCAAUGCUACUCAACUUCAUACUUUAAUUGGCCUUUUUCAAUUUUUUUAUUCGGGUGUCACUGAUGAGGCUUUUGAGACGAAAAGCACGUCUGGUACAAAUUCAAAAUAUCAAUCCUGGUAUCUAUGAUUAGUUUAUUUAGAUGUAUUUGGCAAAAGCUUUUGAAAUGUCUAGGCCUCAAUCCACUUCGUAGGUUAUAUGACCUUUAACUUUGUGAAGUCACUGAGAUCUUUAAGACGAACUGCGCGUUUAUCGGACACGAGUAUAGGUCUUGUUUGUUUUACAAUUGUUUUUUACUGUAAAAAUACAUAUAUCUGCAUCUUUUCGAAUAUUAUAUUCAGUUGAUACUUGGCCCAUAUUGUUUUAUAUUGUAAUUGCUUAAACAUAACACGAAUGCAAAAUCAACAACAUUAACAUUAUAAUGAUGGUAUCUGGAACGAUUUUAAGUUACGUUUUAUGCUUAACAAUCCAACAAUAGUAUUAUUUCUAUUUCAAAACAUUCAAAACGGGAUGUUUUGGUUUAGAUUUCUUGUUUGUGUCCAAGUAACAUUAUAUUUCGUGGAAUUAUUUCUUAUAUAAAGGUUUAUACUUUCUUAGUUAUUGAUUACCGUACUCCCUUAUGUUGUUCUAUUUGAAAUAACGAGGCUUGCAAAAGAAUAAAAAGAUACUGAAGGUGCAUGUAAAGAACAAAACACUAAGUUUAAAAAGUUAAACUAAAAGGACAUUCAAAACAAUGAUCAAAUAGAAAAUACAAAGAGGAAAACAACAUUCCACAUUUCAUUUAAUGGACUUUAUGCGACUUUCAUACACGUGAGAGGUUACGAUAUAUCUAUAAAAGCAGCUAACAUUUUCUACUAAAGAAAAUGCAAAUACCAAUUCAGAAAUAUGACAGUUAGUAUCCAUUCGUUUGAUGUGUAUGAGCUUUGGAUUUAGGGAAUUUUCAUUUAUAAUUUUCCUUCCAGUUCGGUAUUUUUGUUACUAUCACAUUAAACGUACGAUUGGUCAAUUAACCCUCACUCGGCAUAAAUGAGCAGGGAGGAAAAUAAACGAUUCUAGCAUAUCAGCAGUUCCAAAAGAUAAAUAGUAGUGUUCAAAUAAGAAGAACCGUUUUGUUUUAUAAUUCCGCACUUAAUAAACAUUAAAUUUACUGAAAAAAUACAUAUCAAUGGAAUUUCACGACAUUACAAAAUUAGACAGAUGAUUCUUUCAGAGACCAAACAAUCACAGCAGCUGUAUCGACUCAGUAGUUUAAAAAGGUUAGCAGGUUUGUUACUGUGGGUUCAUUAUUAUUCGUUAAAAACCGAUUUUCAUGGGUUUCGUGGAUACAGGGGAAGCACGAAUUCAUAUGUUCAACGAAGUUCAUAUUUGGAUAUGAGAUUUGCUUGUAGAAAUAAAUAAAACCAUGAAAUUGGAUAACCUCGAAAAUGCAAGUUUUCCUCAAUCCAAGAAAAUUGAUACUCACGAAAAUACAUGAAUCCGUUUGGAACGCCAGACUAGAAUUCUUUAAGAUGAUCAAAUUUGAGUGUUGAUCAAAAUGAAAAUAAUCCUAAAAUAAAAUUUAUCUUAAAAUGCCAAAAAUAAAAAAAAAAGAAAUAUGAUAUUGGUUUAACUAGAUCAGUUAAAAAAUGUGUAGGUGCCAAGAGUUAUGAGUGUCAAACAUUCGGAUUUGCAUGUUGAUACCAGAAUCAUCGACAUAGUGCUAUUGUGAUUGCAUUACAGGUCUCGUGUGAUUCCAUAAUUAUCAGCUGCAGGAAGUGUUGCAAGUAGCAACACAAUUAAAGAGUUAAUCUCGUCAGUAAGCAUAUAGGAAUUAUGAGAAAAUAAUAUUGUCUUUAGGGAGUUGAGACAGGAUAAAGAGUAACAAAAUUGAUGGAAAACCCAAACAUGCAACACUAAUGCCCUUUUUAUCUUAAAUGUUUUUCCCUUUCCUUGUUAAUUAUGGAAGUUUUAUUCUUUUCAAAUACAUCUUACUGUUAAAAAUGAAUAAUAAUUCUAUGCCAAAAAAAAAGGAUUAUUGUUCGGAAGCGAUCAUGCAACAUAUGAGAGUAUUAUUUUCGUAUCUUUUUAUGUUCAAAUAAAGGAACAAUAACAUGUAUUAAUUUAAUGUACGUAUUGUUAUGCGUUUACUGUUCUACAUUGGCUAGAGGUAUAGGGAGAGGAUUGAGAUCUCAUAAACAUGUUUAACCCCGCCACAUUUUUGCGCCUGUCCCAAGACAGGAGCCCCUGGCCUUUGUAAGUCUUUUAUUAUUUUUAAUUUAAGUUUCUUGUGUACAAUUGGGAGUAUGGCGUUCAUUAUCACUGAACUAGUAUUUGAUAUAUUUGUUUAGGGGGCGGCUAACGGAUGCCUCCGGAUGCGGGAAUUUCUCGUUGCAUUGAAGACCUGUUGGUGACCUUCUGCUGUUGUCUGUUCUAUGGUCGGGUUGUUGUCUUUUUGACACAUUCCCCAUUUCCAUUCUCAAUUUUAUAAACUAAAUUUACAAAAUUUAUGACUAUAAGCAUAAUUGCAGGAUCGUUAAUACGCUUGGUUUAGAAAUUAUUGCAUUACAUGUAUGCUUUAUAAGUAUCCAUAGUUUUGAUUGGCUGCAAACAAUCGUUACGCAUUUAAAAAAUAGGUGAUAUUUCCUAAAAAAAAUAGUCAUGACAUUGCGUGCUUCCCAUGACAGCAUCACACCAAUGCAUAGGAAAACUAACGAAAAAGCUUGGUAUAACUCGUAAUUUCAUGGUUGUAACAUUAAAUGUUACUCUAAGAAUUGAAUGAUUUUGUAAUUCUAUAUAUAAAAAAAAUGUAAAAGCGUUGACCAUGCACACCAUCCAGUACGCUUCAAACGAAAAAGUGCUUCGGUCAACGAUUUGAGAACCCAAUACGAAAACAUUAAUUGCUUUGUUGGCACUAUACAACUCUUACAAAACAUUUCCCGUUAUUCUUUAGUAUUAAAUACCUAUCCAUUUCCGAAAACAAUUAUAAACAAAGCAGAAUUACUAUUUUGAUGAAAUGAGAAAAUAAGCCCAAUAAUAUUAAUCACUUAAUUUUGAAUUCGGAGAUAAACAGAGCUCUGCGACACAUGUUAAGUAAUAUUUCAAAACACUUAAUCAGGUUCAGUUCGGUUCGGUUCUCAAGCAUAAUGUAUGUGUGGUGUCUUCUUAAGAUACAUCUACAUCAAUCGUUGUACAACAUGUCUCAUUAAGAGAUCUGAAAUUAAUGUCAUGUAUCUGUUGAUUAUUGUAUUAUGGUGGAAUCAUUGAUUAUAUGGUUUUAAAAUAAUCUGUCUAUAAUGACAGUUAAUCAUUCAAAGAUGUGUGUGUACAUUUGAAAUAUACCUUUGACGUAUAUUUAAGGAAUAUAUUUUGAUGCAUGUGCCUUUAAUUUCUGAAGAGUCACAGAACACGCAAAAUAACCAUGAAACUGACAUAAACUGUAAUAUUAAUAGUAUUGUUUGCAUCAAAAAAUAUCUAGAUACAUAAAAACAGUAUUAUAAUAAUUAUAAUAAUUUUUAAAUACCCACUUGCCUUACUGAUGACUUUUCACGUUUUCGCGGACUGCAGCACAAACUUAUUAAAUAUAAUGGAUGAUGUAAAGAAAGGCCCUGAAAUCUCUGAUUUUACCUGAUAAUUAUAAUAAAAUGUGGUAUGAUUGCCAAUGAUACAACUCUCCAGACACGGCCGACACUCGGCUAACCGAGAGAUUGGUCGGUUAAUCUAUAUUGAGUAUGCGGCUAUAUAGGCGAUUGGUCUGUUAAUCGGUUGGCUAAAGCUGUUAAUCGUUUAUGAGAAAAUCAUUGAAAGUUUCAGCAUGUUUCAGUAUCUUUCUAAAUAUAUUUUAUCAUAAAAGUAUUCAUGUCUAAAAAUUUAAUGUACUGAAUUCAGUGGUGUAAUUAUUAUUUUUCUAGCUUCGAUGUACGAUCUAUAAAAUAAAAAGGCGGGUUACUCAUCAAUAAAUUUAUACACAUUUUACACACAUAAAAUAUACACAAAAUGACACAUUGGUUAAAUGUACUUGCAUUCAAUAUUUUGAACAUCGAAAAAAGAAAGGCAUUAUGUUUGUUAACCAUAUUGAUAUCAUUGUGUAAAAAAAUGUAUUUUGGUGACAUAAAUCAAUCUUUAUUUAAAACCUGGUCUGUUAAUGGGUCGGAUGUAUAAAACCCGGUCUGUUAUGCUGUUAAGAGUUAUGAAUGGAUAAAAGUAAAUUUUAUUGCUAUAUGGGUGUUAUCGUCAAAUGAGUAGGCUCAAGACGAGCGGCUAAUAUAGAAAAACAAAUGAGCAAUGACAACAUAUACGGAAAAACUGGAAUUGAAAUUGAUAAAAAUGGUCAAAAAGUGUAAUUUAAAGUAAUAUUAAUUUCAUCCAAGAAUGAUCGAUAAUCAUGUUAUCUGUUUAAAUGUCUGAAUACACAAUUUGUCAUCUACAUUGGUAACGUAUAUAAAUCAGAGAUAAUAAGAGGAACGAAGAUACCAAAGGAAUCAAAUCAAAUAAAACAAACUGACAACGCCAUGGCUAAAUGAAAAGAAACAGAAACAUAGUACACAUGACAAAUAGAAAACUAAAGAAUAAACAUACGACCACCAAACUAGGUGAUCUCAUGUGCCCGGAAGGGUAGCAAUUGCUCCACAGUGGACCCUCGUGUUGCUUAUGUGAUUACAAUCCGGAUAUAGUCUAAUUGUAUCAAUUCAUAAAGGGAAGGGGAUUGUAGUUACGACGUAAGGACAUAUCGAUAUCAUUUGUGAACGGUAUUCCAUAACGGUCAAAACUCGUGAUGGCUCCGUAAAAUUUACGAAGGAUGAUUUCAACUUCACCAUUUGGAACUUUGGUUUAAUAGCUUCUUGAUAAACGUCGUAAUGUAACUAAACAUCAGUAAGUAAAAUAUAUUGGGAUGACAAAAUAUGAAAAAUAAAGAAAGAAUAAUGAGUAAGAUAAAUAAAAUGUAGAAAAAAAAUCACAUAACAAUUUAAAGAAUACAGAAAUAAACAAUACCCCCAAUCCGGACCCUCAUGGUAUACACGAGAAUCUGGAUGGAAACGCAGAAUAUAGAAUAAUAUAUAAGGACAGUAGAGAGUGAUACAUUGCUAGAAACGAGAGAAAAAUAGUACUUGUUUAAGAAUACACACAUGAAACGCCGAUGGCUGUUGAAACAGUAACGGAUGGCGAUGUACUUAUAUUGGUGACAAAUCCUAGAAGUUUACAUACGGACAAUCUAUGGUGGCAGGUUAAUGCCAUUUUGAUUUUGAGUUUUAGCGCUUUAGCGUUUUCGCCUUACAUAUUCUAUAUGGCGAAAUUGCGAAGUCGAAAACGCGUAAACGCGAAACCGAUUUCUAGUUUCCGACUUCGCGUUUUUGCGUUUUCGACUUCGCGAUUUCGCCUUUUCGCGAUUUCGCGUUUUCGCCCUAUAGAAUAUGAAAGGCGAAAUCGCGAAAUGGACUUCACCGGCCACCAUAGACAACUGUAGUUCUCCUCUGCACUUAUGUAAAAAGGAACUAAACGGAAUAAAAUGAAUUGAAACUUAAAAUAACCAAAUGUAGCUGCAUUCGCUCCUUUCCGUUUACUUCUUUAUAGUGAUUUGUAAACAACACAUGAUUAAGUAAUAGAAGAAAAGAACCAAUUGGAUGAUGCUGACGAAUUAGGGUUGAACGUCCAGUGACAAAUAUCAUGUGCAUAUGUGAACGAGAACACGUUAUAUGUACCCUGUGUUGUAUUAGAAAGAUACUUUCAGUCGGAAUUGAGAACGUUCUUCUUCGAACAGACACAAAAAUUAAGGCUGAUUGAAAACGUCAAUAAAAAUUCAUGUACAUCAGAGUCAAUCCAUAUCACGCUAUAUUGAAGUGACACACCCUUCAAUAAAAUGCAAAGAAAGUCAAAAUAAAAAUGCUCUUUCUAGGAUACUGUGGCACCGUAUAGUCAUUUUUGUUUACUCAGGAACAUCUCAUUCUUAAAUUUUUCAAGGGGAAAAUAUAAAGGUAGCAAAAUUAUUGUCGUGGCUAAAUCUCUUAACUGACACAAUUUCAAUUGUCCAACCCAUUAACAGACUUGAUUCCCAUAAUUUUCACUAAAGUGGUAUUAUUCACUUAUUUACAAUUAUGAAAUUUAUAAUUAAUUUAUUUUUUAGACCACAUACUAUUUUGUGUCCUUUAAUGAUAUCUAAAUUUUUUGAUUUCGCCUUUUUUUAAAAAUUACUUGCGUAUAAGAUAAAUACUACAACUUGCGACGCUUUUAGUUUUACUGAAACUGCCAGAUAAGAAAUGUUUUUACAGUGCAAAAUGUUCUAUGAUAGAUAUCAUUUUGUCAGACACCUUUUCUUUUUUUGAUUUGGUUCUAUAACAUGCCAAAAUCUGUAUAUUUAUAGAGUUUAACAUAAAUUAAGCUUUUACUCUUACAGACGUUACCACGAUUAACAGACAAUCGCCUAUAGCCGCAUACUCAAUAGAUAACCGACAUCUCUCGUUGCCGAGUGUCGGCCGUGAGAUGACAUCAAAUGACAUAAAAAUUAACAGCUGAUAAGGUUAUUACAAAAACGCAAAAUGUACGCACUGUAAUCAGUUCGUGUCGUUUUUCCUUUUGCCCAAAAUCUUAUUUCUGAUUGUUUAAGCUCAACUGUACAAGAGAAUCAAGGUGUUCGUUUUUUCCCAUUUUAAAUUUCUUGAAAUUUCCCAUUGAGGUUCAAGGUUACAAUACAUGUCAUCUGAAACAACUAGUUCACGUUGAUUAAAAUUCAUUAACAAGUUGAUUGAUAGACCAUUGAUAUUUGUUUUUAGAUACAAAAAUGGUGGUAAAAGAUGUCAGAUCGAUUCAAAAAAAGCCAUUAAGAAAUAAGAUAUUAAUGAUAAUUUCUUUCAUUUGUUUUCUCCUGCGAAAACAAAAGAACAAAUCUUUUAAAAUUCCAUAUAAAUUAAGAUUUAGAGACAAUCUAUAAAGAUUCCCAUACAAAAUCAUAAAAAAGCUAAGCAACACAAACCCUACUACAAACUUGGGGGAACUCAGUGCUCCUGGAGGGUACCCAGACCCGGUUCCACAUAUAACAUCAAUGAAUGUAAUUGAAUCUGUAGCAAAUAUAAACGUAGUGUCAAAACAAAUAGACUAAAAAGAUAUAUUACAGGUAAUUGAAUAUAGUAAAAUCGAUUUGAAAUGUACUUAUUAGAUUUUGAAAACAAAUGCUUUUUUCAAACGAUUUAUACUGAGUUUAUUUACAGAAGUCUGCUGCGGCAGAAACAGACGUAUUUUAUUACAGAUUACUUCAAUCUGAAUAUCUUGUCAUUUUAAGUAAUACACUGCAAAUCUUUCACAUUGUUUCAUCAUGUCCAUUAACUAAGUAAACAUUAUUGUUAAAAUAAUCAAUCAUAACUUUGAAAUUUAAAUUUAUGAACUAUAUAAUACUUUUCGUUUAGGUAUUGAAAUUCGAAAAGCCAGAUGAAGGAAUUUCCAGAAACUGGUUUGACUACAGAAAUAGAAAAAAAACAUUGGAAGAAUUCAACAAUUUGGAAUGAACCGUAACCUCAGCAUUUGAUAGGAAACGAAACAUUGUAAUCAGCAAAAAGUAAAAUCACAAAAAUACUGAACUCAAAGGAAAAUUCAAAACUGAAUGCCUAAUCAAAUAGCAAAAAAAGUCCCAAUUUUGUUCGUAAAUCAGUGUAUUUCAAAAGCCUAAAUGCUAAAUAAAUCAGUACUUUUCAUCAAACUACAUACUAUCUACAAAGUAGGCCCAGUUUGGAAAAUGUGUCAAAAUAUGAUGAUUUUCUGAUAUUUUCGUACCUAAAAGUUGUAGGAAAAUAUUGGCCGCCACUUACGAUCCAAAAUGCAUUGUAACCAAAAGAUUAAAUUUUCGAUAAAGAAUUCAUCAAUAUUAAAACCUUAUCAAAGGUACCAGGAUUGUGAUUUAAUACGCCAGACGCGCGUUUCAUCUGACGCUCAGAUCAAAAUAGUUAUAGAACCAAACAAGUACAAUAGUCGAAGAGCAUGGAGGACCCAAAAUUCCUAAAAGUUGUGCCAAAUACGGCUAAAGUAAUCUAUUCCUGGGAUAAGAAAAAACUUGAAUCAAAAUUAACCAAAAUUGCCCUUAAAUACAAUUAUGUGUAUUUAAGGGAUCAUAGCUUCAUAAAUUUUAAAGGAAGGUUGUCUUAAUAGUAUCAACUCAAGUAUUUCUAUGUAAAGUUUGUAAUUUUUAGUCCAGAUUUUAAAAAAAAACAUGAAAAAAAAUAGGGACAAUUUUAACGCUUUGUGAACCUUCUCCUUUAAAAACAUUGAAAACAACACGUAAAAGCUCAGUUGUUUAAAAACCAAAAUUAAAUUUAAUAGAAAAGAAUUAAUCAUUCAAACGGUUUAUGGACAUGAUUUUUAAAACAUUAAUUUUAGAAACGCAACUAAACUAGUUUGAAGGUUUUUUUAUUUCAAAAUACACAUUACGCACGAAAUACUAAAUUGUAUAUACAGUUGAUUCAUUUCUUCAUCGUUUAAGGUAAGUUUAAAAUUAGAAAGUAGAAUUAAUUACGCCAAACUUAACGUUUAAAUCAUGUGGUAUGCACUAAAAUCGUUGUUUUCUCUUCAUUAUCGGUCUACAAACACAAAGAUAGCUGUUAAAAAUUUCUAAACGGUUGACAGAAUGGUAAACCAUAACUGUUUGGAAUGUUUUUUGUCAAGUUCUUCCCCUUAUGAUUUUGUACAUUUCCACCUAUUUCAGUCUGUUAUUGCAGUAACGUGGUGUACAUUAAAACCAUUAUUAACAAUACUAAAAUUGAUUAUGUCGCAUAUAAGCAUACUAUUGCUAAUGUAAAUCUUCCUGUCAUGACAUCCAACGACUUGGUACAAAAUCUGACGUAGUAGCCGUUACAUUGUGUUGGAAAUUACGUUGCCUUAUUUGAUUGAACAUAACGUUAAACUUCAUGUUGACCAGGUCAAUAGCUGGUGACUUACGAGUAAUGAUUACCUGCUCGGAAGUUUCAGGGACUUAACGGUAAUGUUAUAGUGUUUAAUACCAUAUGUUACCUUUGUCCUAUCAGUUUUAUAUGAUAUGGUGAAUUACUAUGUUUCUUUCGGGAUCGAUUUAUUUGAUCUCUCUAUCUUCCGCGUUUCUUUAUCUUUUCUUUGGUCAUACUUUUUUCGUCGCACUUCCGCUGUGUGGUAUUUUAUGUCUUACUAGCGUGGUCAUAAUUUAGGUCACUUCAUACGAAAAAGAUGUCGGCGAAAAGAGUAUGGAAAGACAAUAAUUCAAUAGCAGCACAUUACAGAAAACUAAGAGAAAAUAAAACAUUUUCUUAUAAAUGAAAAUCUUUUUACUAAUAUAUUAUACUUACACUUUGGGAUUAAAUUAAACAAAACAUAUUCAUUUUUUUUAUUUAAAGUUUCUUAUGUUUUUAAGUAACUGUAUAUAAGGAAAUAAGUACCAGAAGAGGAAUCUACUAUAUAUUCUUAAAACAGUAAAUUGAUAAGUGAAAGUAUUCAAUUAUAUUGCCCAUUUACACUUGUAACGACCUGCGUAUUCACUACAAGACAAUAGAAUAAAAGUUAUGUUUGGUUGUAAGCUAAAGUACAUAAUUAGGAAUCGUAUAGUUUGACAGGCCGAAGUGGUACAAUAUUCCAAUUAAAGCCGACAUAUCUAGUUGCGAACAUUGAACAUAUAUCACUUCAUACAAAUGAACUCUAAGGAGGAAAAUUCAAAAACGAAAGUAUGUAAUCAAAUUGCAACAUCAAAAGCUCAAACACAUCAAACGAAUGAAUAACAACUUUCAUAUUCCUGACUUGGCACAACUUUUUUGAAUUUUGGUCCUUAGUGCUCUUCAACUUUGUACUUGUUUGGCUUUAUAAAUAUUUUGAUACGAGCGUCACUGGUGAACCUUAUGUAGACGAAACCCGUGUCUGGCGUAUUCAAUUAUAAUCCUGGUACCUUUGAUAACUAUUGGUACAGGCAUUUUCUUAUGAACAAUAUGAUGUAUUAAACCUGUUUUUAUAACUAGCUAGACCUGUCACUUGUAUGACAGUCGCAUACAUUCAAUUAUAUAGACAACGAUCGGUGAACAAAACAAACAUGUCACAUAAUUUUAAUUCAUAAUAUGUUGAUACUAAUAUUUAAGGUAGCAAAUUACAAAGAUUUUUAAUCCCAUCAGAACCCUUUUAAACUGACUGUAAUUCCACUCAUCUUUCUUUAAAUUUUAUAAAUGAAGAUCAAAGAAAGAGGAAAGAAUUAAUCUUUUCAAAUUGUGAAAAUUUCGAUUAUGAUAUAAUUAUUACAUAAUUUAAUACUAUUUGUAAUUAGUUGCUUAUAUUGCUGAUUGUCCAAACUUGAAUUAAUUUAGCUUCUUUGUUAUUCCAUGGCACUCCCAAAUAUUUUUAUAGAAUUCUUUGCACAACACAGUUUUGACCUCCAAAACUGUGUACUCAGAUUUUUUCCUAUUGCAUUUCAUUCCUCUAUAAAUGAUUCAAUGAAGUUCUGCACACCAUCAAAUUCAUAAGAGACCACUAAAUUCCAAUUGGCUAUAAUAAAUUUGUUCUAUUUGAUGUUCUUUGGAAAUCUGAGACACAGUUUGGAGUCAGCUGUGUUUGUACAAGAAUCUACUAAAAUAUUUUGGGAUGGUAUCCAGAACAAAGACGCUAAAUUCAUUAAGUGUGACAUUCAAAUUAUAGCAAACUAUUACAUAAUAAUAGUUAUGUAUAUAUAUGUCAUAGAGAAUUUUUUUCAUUAUUUGAAACGUAAUCUUUCUUCUUUCUUUUGGUACUAUUUUAAAAAUAUAAAGAAGAUGAAAUGAAUUACAUCAGUUUAAAGUUGUUCUGAUUGGACUGCAAAAAUCUUUGUAUUGUGCUACCUUAAGCCAAUAACUUUUAACUCAUAUGUAAUAAAAUAAAGUUGUAUUCCUCGGUUUUUCAUGCUUACAUAUUCUUAAUAGAACGUUAAUGAUAACAAUUUUACGCGAAAGUGUAUGCCACAGCCAGGAUAAUAAAUUUGAUAUUAUCAUUUGACUUUUUCUCUAAUUCACGCAGAGAUUUAUUUGAAGUUAAUUCCCUGAACGUCUAAUAAAAUGGGUAUUUCGCAUCAAGUGUUUUGACGGUAAUAUCAUUUUAUUAAACAAGUAACAAGUGUUGUCAAAUGUUCUUAAAACUUUUAGGACCUAACUGAUGAAGUGCUGUUGUAUUUUUCUGGCAAACUACUAAUUUUUUUUGGAAUGAUACAUCCCAGAGGUAAAGUAUGAAAUUCUACUAAUGAAGAGACUGGAUAUUAAAAUUUGCAAAAUAUUAAAAAAAACGUAGUAAAAAACGUGGACAAUUAAACAAAAACAUGUUAAGUAAAAAUUAUUAUAGGAUAAUACACAUUUAUACUCUUUUAUGACACUUUUGAUAGAAUACGAUCGAGAGGCGUAAACUCCAAUUAAUCAUGUACACACAUUUGACCUAUUUCAAGUCUUGAAUCUGCAUCAUUGGUUUAUUUAUCAUCAUAUUUUAAUUUUUUUGUUUUUUUUUUUUUUUUCAAAGUUUUGACAUUUUGAAAAUGUGUUUUUGUAAAUUCUUAUAGUUGCCAAGUGUUACCAUUUGUUAAUCAAACUUUGUCAUACCUGUUGCUCGUAGAUCUUUGAUAGUAUCAGUUCAAUUACUUUCACGCCUUUUAUGGGUUCCUACUUAUUAUAUUAACACGUGUCUUUUGAUGACGACAUUAAGUUGCAGAUGUCUCUUGGUUAUAUUUAUAGUUGACUGCAAUCUUAUUAACUCAUAACUCACAUCUUACUCACGUAGCAUGUCGUGCCGACAACAUCAUUGUAUUCGCCUGAAGUAAGUAGGCAAUUUAAUGUAGAUUCUAUAAAUUCAGAAAUUAUUGCGAUGUGUUAAUCAUUGCGAAAAAUGCGCCUGGAUUAAAUAGGCACUUUAAGUAGAUACUAGUAUACAGAUUUUUGACAUAUAUAUUUGGUGACACUCAAAUCAGGAAAAACAUUUCUUAAUUUCUCGUCACAAUAGGGAUUAGAUAGUUGCCACUUCAAGUUAUUCAAUUUUGACUUUACAAUUUCUUAAUUUUAUAAAAUUUUACAAAAUCCGAUAACUUUCGUUUUUUAUCAUGAUUUUCUUAAACGACUGUUAUUUUUAAAAUAGAAGUUUUUGAACCAAUGAUACUUCAUGGUAAAGAUGACGACAUUCCUUUGAAAAUAGUAUGAAAGCCAUCAUAAUGUAAAACCCUUGCUGCUUUUCUUGCCCAAGCGACUUAUUUCCGAAUUUUUACUUGAAACGAUUAACAUGAUAGGUGUUUAUAGUGAAACAGAAAACCCUUCAAUGGCUUGUAUCAUUUUACCAGGGUUCGUGAUUCCCAAUUUCUAGUUUUCUGUUGAGUGUUUUGUUGCUGUUUGGUUCUAUUCAUAUUUCGUCGUUUUCAUUUGGCCAAUUGGCUUUAUUUUCUUCGAAAAUCAAUCAUCUAAAAAUAUAAUCAAUAUACAAGAAAUGAAGCUGAAACAAUAUUUUACUUCUCUAUAUUAAUAGUUUUUACGGCUUGGUGUUCCAUAUCUCUGUCACUUAAAAUGAUAAAUGCGUUUAACAGCUAAAGAUAUUAACUUUUAAUCGAAUUACUUCAACAAUUUUGUCUAAUCGAUCUAUGACAUUUACAGUAUUUAAUGAUCAAUUUUCAUGGUUUCUGGCUUUGAUCGCAGGAUUAAUAUAUCAAGCAUAAAAAUGAACAAAAAUGUCUCUUAAAUAAACGUUUAUGAGUAGGUGUGUUUAAGAAUUGCUGAUUUAUCAAAUUGAAGUAAUUAAGUAUAUUUGCUGAUAAAUUCAAAAUUGAAAACAUGUUAAUAAUAGAGUUAGUUCUGUGCGCCCGUCAGUUUUAAAAUAUGGGGUUUACAAACUACUAAAAGGAUUCUUAUAGUGAACGGAAAAACAUAUAGUAAAAAGUUAAUGUUUGUCGCUGGAUACUAGAUGGAUGAAUGGUACUCUGAUAUUAAACAUGUUAAUUCAUCUUACAAAGCCAUCACAAAUCAAACAUGAUUAACUUUAAAAAGGUUGGUUUUUUUUCCAAAUUUGAAUUUGAGUGGACAUGUUAGAUAACAAUGUUUUUUUUUAAAUUGUGUAAAAUAUAUUAUUAAUAUUAUUAUUAUUAUCAUAAGUAAUUUCAUUAUUAUUUCAGAAAAAAGAUUGUUGCCAGUUAAGCAAAAUUAAUCAAGUAUAUUACAAUAUCUGCAUGUAGAGAAACCUGGUGGAAGAGAUAUUCAAGUUGCUUCUACAUUAAACAAAGUUCCUGUCUACCAGUAUAUUUUUCAUGGUGCCAUGAAAAGCAUAAAUCGACCAUUACUAAAAUGAGUGAGCUUAUAGGCUUCAAAAUUACUUGAGCAAACACACCGG